GACGAACGCUGGCGGCGUGCCUAAUACAUGCAAGUAGAACGCUGAAGGAGGAGCUUGCUUCUCUGGAUGAGUUGCGAACGGGUGAGUAACGCGUAGGUAACCUGCCUGGUAGCGGGGGAUAACUAUUGGAAACGAUAGCUAAUACCGCAUAAGAGUAGAUGUUGCAUGACAUUUGCUUAAAAGGUGCAAUUGCAUCACUACCAGAUGGACCUGCGUUGUAUUAGCUAGUUGGUGGGGUAACGGCUUACCAAGGCGACGAUACAUAGUCGACCUGAGAGGGUGAUCGGCCACACUGGGACUGAGACACGGCCCAGACUCCUACGGGAGGCAGCAGUAGGGAAUCUUCGGCAAUGGACGGAAGUCUGACCGAGCAACGCCGCGUGAGUGAAGAAGGUUUUCGGAUCGUAAAGCUCUGUUGUAAGAGAAGAACGAGUGUGAGAGUGGAAAGUUCACACUGUGACGGUAUCUUACCAGAAAGGGACGGCUAACUACGUG
rnacentral:rRNA from 1 species